rnacentral:lncRNA from 10 species
CGCCCCUCUCCCCGGAAGAAUGGGGGCCUCUGCUCACACCAGAUUGGUCGGACGGCAUCACGUGACCUCAUCUCUUGGACUCGCUUGCUAUUCCCGAAAAGGGGGAAAGGAUUUGGGGGGGACAAUCGCGGAGCCUCUCGCUGGCUUUAGGGAGAGAGGGCUGGGGUAGAGGAGAGCCCCAGGGAGCAGGCAGAGGUGGGUUGGCUAGGGCCUUGUGUGACUUGGGCUGAGAAACUUCACUUAUUCCCUGGCGCUGGCAGUUGUCAAACUGGGUCUUGUAGAUGCUAAGUCUCCAUAGAGGUAUCGUAGGGAUGACCUUUUUCCUGAAGAAACUGCUGCAGAAUGAAAGCUCCAGGCGCUUGGGUGCAGCAAGUAGGCUAUGCAUUUCCCACCAGCAGGAAUCUAGCUCCUGGCCAAGGUGAGCCACGCAGAGCAGCAGCCACGGGUAUCAUCCUCCCAGGAGGCAGAUCCCAAUUCGCGGAGAAGACCCGGCCAGCGGGAGGAUGCCAGCCUCAUCCUCAAGGCUGGGAUUGGGACUCUUUCCAGAAGGAACGACCUCUGUGCUUGAGUUGGUUGGGGGGCGCAAUGGAUUCUUUAACACUGGGGAAAUUCAUACAGAUGAAAGUGAGAGACACAUGACAGUGAACUGUAAACAUCAGCCAGGUCUUAGAAACGCUGGGGGAGGGACACACAAACCUUGUGAGAAGAAAAAUAAGCUUUUGUGGAAGUGAGGUUUGGAGGCCAAGAGUCCUUUAAGCGUCUUAAAGGAUCCACUGUGCAUCCUUUGUUAGUGGUGGGUGUGCUUCCUCCAACACUAGCCUUUGGUUUACUUUUAUGUGCCACUGGAUUCUGUUGCUCCAGGGAUACCAGGCUCUUUAGAAGCCAUUCUAGCAGCUGGUCUCUGCUUGGGAAUGUACAAGUGUUGGCUCUGGGACAUGUAAUCGCCUGUGCCUCCUGAUGUGGUUUCCAAGCAUCCACUGAGGUUUCUUUCACUUUGGGGGAAAAGAUGAGAGGCCCUGUGCUUAAACAAUUUGGAAGCAGAAAUCCAAACACCAGGGACCUGAGUGCAGCAAGGGCAGGGUCCUGGGAGGGCCUCUCCAGAAACCGCUCUCCUUCUGGAGGGAGGAUGGGGUCAUCUUUGCUGAGCAGAAGGCAGCGAUGGUUUCCUUUUAGAUGCUGUGGGUGCCCCUGUCAGCAAGAACCCCAGUUGUGGCCUCAGGGGUGGGGAGGAGAGCUCUUUCAGUGUUGCCUUAGGUGUGUGUCUGUGUGUGUCCUAACCCAGUCCUUCCCACACUCCCCCACGUGCUGAUCACGACGAGCACCUCUAAGGCUGGGUCUUUGCAUUAGAAAGUUAUUUGUUAGGGGUACAGGGGGCAAAGAAGGCACCUGGCACUCAUCCUCACCUCCAACUCCCAUGCUUGGGCAGGAUGUCUUUGUCCCUGAGUGAGGUGACGAGCUUUGCUGGCCCCACAGUCUUACCUGCCUGGUCGGGUGAGCCAAGGGGGACCCUGUCCAUGAUGUCUGGGCCAAGAUGUCCCUGUUGGCGACCCUGGAGGGUCCUCUGUCCUGCUGCUGCUCCUGUGGUCACGUAGGGGGUCUGCUCCUCAUGGACCCACCACCCCCGUGUAGUUGUAAUGCAAGUGAGGGGUUCUAAUUUUGUCAGCUUUAUCUUAGUGAAAUAAAGGUUAAUAUCACAGAACCGAAAACAAAGCUUCUGCUCAUUACUAGGGAGUUUCAGCUACUCCCUUUCCGCAAAACAAUAAAUCCAAUCUUAACAUUUUCAGCUUUCUCAUGAUUCUCACUCUCCCUUCUCAG